GCACAACUAGACUACUAAGUGACACGUGUACUAUGGUCAUCUUCAAUGACAGGAUAGAGAUGUGUUCUCUCAUGACCUGUGUUCCCCAUUUCUUCUGAGAGUGAUAGAGAAGAAAAUUAGAUUAAGUAAACCCAAGGAAAGACUUUGCUAUGCAUAGGAAGUAAUUAUGGGCACCCAGUAAAUUCCCAAUAACAGUUGACAAAUGGAAUGAAUGGCUACUGAGGGAAAGCAUUGGUAUCCUUCAUCUUUCUGAGAGUAUAGGGCUGGAGUACAUCACCUUUUGAGAUAAAUUCAGAGUAUUUAUUUUUUGCUCCAUUUCAGAUACUUCCAAAUAGGGCCUCCCAUUUUGGUGUGUGUACGCGCACACACACACGCACGUGCACAAGUGCCUCCAGGUAGGAGGCUAUAUAUUUUGGGGUGAUUUAGACAUUGCUUCUCUUCUCACCACCUCAAGGUGCCAUAGCAAACCCAGCUCCAAUUCUAUUAGGGACCUUUCAGCGAGAGAUUGUAGUUGGUCUUCACACCUUUGAAAGGCCUGAAAAAAGGAGGUAACCUUCAGGACAGGCAGGAGAUUUCAAGCUCAUUGACAGUCAGUUCUGUGCUCAUGUAGCUUGAGAUUCUUGGCCCCAUUGCUGACCAACAGCAUUGCCCAACCAAAAAAAAACUCAGAUCUUUGAAGAGAAGAUUAGGAUAUACUUGGAUUUUAUUCCACAUUGCAAAGAUCAUUAGUGCCUAGAUUAGAUCCAGCCCACAUCUCUAGGUUUAUCUGAUUUCUAUUUUAGUCCUUUAGGGAACUGGACACAGCUAUCUUGGGAUAUGAAUUCGUAGUGUAUGUGAAGGAUCAGAAGUUGGUCACUGUGGAAAUCUCCACAGAAGUAUGGUAACCAGGACUGUAGGCCUGGCCCUGUGCUGGUUUAUAUAUACUGUGAGGCAUGGAAGAUACCCACUGUGGGGUGCAUACAUAGGAAGACAAAGCUGAACCAUGAUAAAAUGAAUGAAAUGUAUAAUUUAGUAUGUGACUUCAAUUGUACAGUAAAGAUUAAAAGGACUGGAGAAAAUGUAUGAAAUGCUAUGGUGGGAUAUAAGUGGGUAGAGUAGCAGGCAUUCCAAAUUGAGAAAAAAAAACCUCAACCAGAGCAUGGAGAUGAGAUGGUCUGGGCACACUUGAGGAACAGUGAGGGGACUGACCUGACCAAAGCAGAGGUUUGAGUUUAAUGAUAGGAAUCAGAUUGGCAAGUCAUGUUGUGGAAGUCUUCAUAACAGAGGAGAGUUUGGGUGUUACUGAAUAGCAAUGGGAUGCCCUGACUGGAUGCUUUUGCUAAUGGUUUUAUAGUGAGAAAAUAAAGCCUUCUCAGCCCCACUUUGCUCUUUCUGUUCUCCAAGGAGAAGGAUUUUCAGAAUAGAAAGGACAAGAUGAACACCAGAGACAAGCUCCUGAAGACAGUCUCAUCCCAGGGUGCCAUGAGCUUCCCUGGGAAACUCCAGCUCAGAGUCUAGGUCAAUAACUGCCCUGACCAUUUUGAGGACUCACAGCUCAACUGCAGGACAAAUGGUGGUGGCUUUACAAACCCCAGGGAGAAUGGAAAUGAUGCAUGCUGCUGCCUAGAGAUGAACAAACAUGGCCCCCACCAUUUUGCAGGUAGGAAAAGGUAAAUUCCACAAAUUUAUAGAUCAAUAAGUGUGAUAUUAAUCAAGGGCAAGAUUCUGAGACAAAUGAUUAAAAGAAUGGUUGGUGAGCACUUAGAAAAGAAAGUGAAGAUCACUCAGCUCCUGGACUUAGGGGAAAAAAUUCCCACUCAAUUCAUUUCCUUUGAUAGGGAGAUUGGACAGGUAGAGGAGUGGAAAGCUAUACCCACAAUGUAUUUGGAAUUCAACAAAACAUUCUCUCAAUACUCUUGGGACAAUAUAGACAAAAUGCAGGGUGGGUAGAAGUAAAAAUUGGUGGACUUUUAACUGGUUAAGUGACUACAUGCAAAAGAAUUCUGUUUGGGGCUAGGGAUAUAGCUCAGCUUGUAGAGUGCCUGCCUUGCAUGCACAAGGCCCUGGGUUCAAUCCCCAGCACCACACAAAACAAAAUGAAACAAAAGGUUCUGUUUUAAUGUCACCAGAUCAGACUUAUAAAUUACACAAAACUGGUAAAGUCCCUUAUUUGAAUUUCAAAAUGUAACAGUACGAGUAUAGGAUGUGGCCUAAAGGAAUUUUUAGAGAAAAUGAAAGCUCAUCAUGAGUUGAGUCAAAUGGAUGGUUUGGUUGCUACAAAAAGUAUUAUGACCUUGGACUAUAUUAAUAAGUCAGGAUAAAGGAGGUGAUCACCUGUGCUACUCUGUACUGGUCAGGCCACACCUGAUGCCCCCUGUUCAUUCAGUUAUGAGCACCAGACUUCAUGGGGGAUAUUACCAAAAACAUACUCAGAAUAGUGGUGAUGAUAGUGAGGGGCUGGAGAAUCCCAGGGAAAAUUUGUCUACUGUUGGCAAAUCGUUUCUGGGUUCAUGGGGAAGAGGAAGCUGUAGUUUUGUUCUGUGUGACUCCAAAGGCUCUGAGAUCUAAUAGAUGGAAGUUAUAGGAAAGCAGAUUUGGAUCAACAUAAAUUGCUCUUUUUCUUUUCUUUUUUAU
rnacentral:lncRNA from 1 species